CCUUUUCUACCUUCAAAGCCGUAGUGAGCGCGUUUGUAGCACUCAGCAUGCUCGCACACCAUGCUCUUCUUCACCAACAACAUGCCCUGAAGCUUGUGCUGCCCGCAAAACUUUGGCGGCUCGCCCUCAAAGUUGAAACUAGGGUAUUUGCCACAUCCAGCGUGCACACAUGGGGAGCUUCUCAGAUUGACC
rnacentral:ribozyme from 1 species